rnacentral:piRNA from 1 species
UAUCAAAUUCCUUCUUUUACAACUUCUUU